CUAUUCUCACCCUAGACUCUUCGAUAUAGUCUUGCAUUUGGAAGAAGCUCACUUUCACCUUGAUCCUUUCCAUUUGGCUUUAGAGGUGUGCUCACAGGGUUGCAGCUUCUCAUUCCAAAUUUUUCUAACAACUAUUGAGCAUACUUCUGUUGACUUAGAAACACUCCCUCUUCAGUGUAAGUAAUCUCAAACCCAAGAAAGUACUUGAGUUUUCCCAGGUUCCACUUAUGUUGGGCGGCUAAAGCAAUUAUUGUUCUGAUUGUGUCGUGUCUGGAUACUGGAGCAAAUGUUUCACCAUAAUCCUCUCCAUAGAUUUCAUCAUCCAUAGCAAUCCUCCAUUCCUUGCUAUUUAUAGCUUCUUCAAAUGUAGAAGGUUCCUCCCAUGUAAGGUAACAUGCUUCUGCAACAUGAUUCAAGUCUUCCCCUUGUUCCUCUGUAUCAUGAUACACAUCAUCCAGUCUUCUGACUUUGUGAACGACACGAGAAGAGCUCCUACGCUCAGUUUCUCCUCCACUUAAUUGAAAAGGUGCAGGUAUCCACACAUGACAAACACAGCCAAAAACCUUAAGAUGACCAACAGAGGGUUUGUGACCACUCCAGGCCUCAAGCGGUGUUUUCUGGUUUAAAGCCUUGGUGGGGAGUCUGUUUUGAAGAGUCCUGUUUCUUCGUUCAGCAACUCCAUUUUGUUGUGUUUGAGUUUCCACCAUACUCUUAAACUUCUUGAAGGUUGCAAAUGUAUCUGACUUCAGCCUCAGAAAGUACAUCCAUAACAUAUGUGAGAAAUCAUCUGUAAAGGUUUUGUAAGUUGUGGAAACCAGAAUGUCCGAGUCUUUUAUGCCAAAGUUCAGACAAAUUCUCCUUAGUGGCCACCCUUACACUCUCCUCAGCUAACUGCAUUCGUAACAAGAUUACGUUCACCGGAAUCGACCGAGCUCUGAUACCAUGUUCUUUGUUACUGUUUUUAACAGCCUCUUUGUCUCUUAUCUUAAACUUUUUUUUAACAUUCAUUAUACACCUUACAACAUAUUUAUACUUAGGUUAAGCUUUUAACCUAUAGUUUCAUUA